rnacentral:rRNA from 1 species
GCUCAGUAACACGUGGAUAACCUGCCCUUGGGACCGGGAUAACCCCGGGAAACUGGGGAUAAUACCGGAUAACGCAUAUCUGCUGGAAUGCUUUAUGCGUAAAAUGGAUUUGUCUGCCCAAGGAUGGGUCUGCGGCCUAUCAGGUAGUAGUGGGUGUAAUGUACCUACUAGCCUACGACGGGUACGGGUUGUGAGAGCAAGAGCCCGGAGAUGGAUUCUGAGACAUGAAUCCAGGCCCUACGGGGCGCAGCAGGCGCGAAAACUUUACAAUGCGGGAAACCGUGAUAAGGGGACACCGAGUGCCAGCAUCAUAUGUUGGCUGUCCAGAUGUGUAAAAUACAUCUGUUAGCAAGGGCCGGGCAAGACCGGUGCCAGCCGCCGCGGUAACACCAGCGGCCCGAGUGGUGAUCGUGAUUAUUGGGUCUAAAGGGUCCGUAGCCGGUUUGGUCAGUCCUCCGGGAAAUCUGACGGCUCAACCGUUAGGCUUUCGGUGGAUACUGCCAGACUUGGAACCGGGAGAGGUAAGAGGUACUACAGGGGUAGGAGUGAAAUCUUGUAAUCCCUGUGAGACCACCUGUGGCGAAGGCGUCUUACCAGAACGGGUUCGACGGUGAGGGACGAAAGCUGGGGGCGCGAACCGGAUUAGAUACCCGGGUAGUCCCAGCCGUAAACGAUGCUCGCUAGGUGUCAGGCAUGGCGCGACCGUGUCUGGUGCCGCAGGGAAGCCGUGAAGCGAGCCACCUGGGAAGUACGGCCGCAAGGCUGAAACUUAAAGGAAUUGGCGGGGGAGCAC